rnacentral:rRNA from 1 species
CUGGCUCAGGACGAACGCUGGCGGCGUGCUUAACACAUGCAAGUCGAACGGGAAGAAAAAGAAGAGCUUGCUCUUUUUUGGAUUCUAGUGGCAAACGGGUGAGUAACACGUAAACAACCUGCCUUCAGGAUGGGGACAACAGACGGAAACGACUGCUAAUACCGAAUACCUU